CGGGCCAUGUCCAUUGAACAAUUUAUAAUCUAGAGAUUGAUUUUGCCUACACUGCUGCUUUGCACAGUUCAAUCGCAUCUUUGAUUAUAAUCAUAUAUCAUAAAAGAUGAAAAGAUGAAUUGCGUGACAGGUGAGUCUAAUGGUUCCUUGGAGUGUGGUAGUUGUAGUCCUGGAAGACUUUUCCUCCUGCCAUUCAAGUCUCGUUCUUAUUUUUUCAUUGCCGUCCGAAAUAGUGCACCCCUUAAAAUUGACGGGCCAAGAAUUUGAGAAGCCUAACACAAUGAUUGUAACCAUAGAGACUCCUUUGUUCUUAGUUGGCACGCAACUGAUGGCUAGCAACUAAAUUCAA
rnacentral:misc_RNA from 1 species